CUGGGCACGAUCACGGGGUCUCAUGUAAAGGUACACCAUGGUUUUGACAUGGCUGUGCACCUGUCAUCUCAGGAGUAGAGAGGUAUCCACUAGACCCUCAGGACAGGUGGUCACCUGAGCUAUUGGGACAGACCCCGUCCAGCCCUCAGAGGGGGGCCAGCCCUACCAACACCCAUCUGUAUGGCUGCAGACAGCAUCUCUGAUCUCUGCUGUCAAAGACAUCAACCUGUGGCUUUCUGCUGUGGUGACAGCUCCUUGGGGGAGAGGGGAGGGAAUGACACCGCAACAGUGCAUUGCACUCCCUGCCACAUACAAAUAGUUCUAGAA